rnacentral:rRNA from 1 species
UAGUCCCAGCCGUAAACGGUGCGCACUUGGUGUAGCGGGUCUGACCCCCGCUGUGCCGGAGCUAACGCGUUAAGUGCGCCGCCUGGGGAGUACGGCCGCAAGGCUAAAACUCAAAGAAAUUGACGGGGGCCCGCACAAGCGGAGGAGCAUGUGGCUUAAUUCGAUGCAACGCGAAGAACCUUACCAGGGCUUGACAUGGCGACCCUUCGGGGGUGACGGUGAAAGUCGUCUUUACGAUCACAGGUGCUGCAUGGCUGUCGUCAGUUCGUGCCGUGAGGUGUUGGGUUAAGUCCCGCAACGAACGCAACCCUUACUGUUAGUUGCCAGCAUGUUAUGGUGGGGACUCUAACAGGACUGCCUACGCAAGUAGAGAGGAAGGUGGGGACGACGUCAAGUCAUCAUGGCCCUUACGCCCAGGGCUACACACGUGCUACAAUGGGGGUACAAAGGGUAGCUACCUGGUAACAGGAUGCCAAUCUCAAAAAGCUCCUCUCAGUUCGGAUUGAGGUCUGCAACUCGA